rnacentral:misc_RNA from 1 species
AUAUUACCCAUGAUCAAAGUCCUCAAAACUAUGGAUAUACUAGCCUGAUCAAACCAUAAUAUUAAACUUUCUCAAAUUCACUAGUUUGUUGUGUCAUGCCAACGCCUUCAUUCUGCUGUUUCUCCCAUCCCCCAGUAUCUGCUUUAGAGUGAGACAAAUAGUAAAGGAUUGAACCCAGCAAUGACACUAACGUUAAAGCUGCUCCGGCAGCAAAAACACCUUUUCGGAGGGUGGCACAUGAUAAGUGUUCACCGCCAAACACUGCCCUGUACUUGGUGUGGUAUGCAUUCCUUGCUGACCCAGCUAACAAACAUGCCUCAGCUCCCAAAAAGCUUACCCAGGAAAGGAUGAAGAAGAAGAUGGCCAGAGUAGUGGAGGAGCUCCCGCUCAGAAGCCCUUUACCAAAGCAGAGACAUCUGGUAACACCGUUAAUCACAGCUUGGCUUAAUAGCAAUAGCCCGAAAGCCGCCAAUCCAUACACCGUCGACGCGUCCGUCGUGUAUACACAGUAAGUCCUCUCAUCGUAUUGAUCAGGCACCACCUUAGCGUGGCUCCGACGGCGCUCAGCGCCGAUGGCAAGGACAAAGGCUAUGAGGUGGAGAGAAGUGACGAUAGCUAAAAUGGAGACGGAGACGGCCAUUAGUGUAUCUUGGUGGUGUGGUAGGAAAAGCCAGAAGCUGCUUUUGUUACUAAAGUUGGUUUUGGUUUGGAUGGAUAUUUUCCUCCUCCUUUUUG